GACGAACGCUGGCGGCGUGCCUAAUACAUGCAAGUUGAGCGCUGAAGGUUGGUACUUGUACCAACUGGAUGAGCAGCGAACGGGUGAGUAACGCGUGGGGAAUCUGCCUUUGAGCGGGGGACAACAUUUGGAAACGAAUGCUAAUACCGCAUAAAAACUUUAAACACAAGUUUUAAGUUUGAAAGAUGCAAUUGCAUCACUCAAAGAUGAUCCCGCGUUGUAUUAGCUAGUUGGUGAGGUAAAGGCUCACCAAGGCGAUGAUACAUAGCCGACCUGAGAGGGUGAUCGGCCACAUUGGGACUGAGACACGGCCCAAACUCCUACGGGAGGCAGCAGUAGGGAAUCUUCGGCAAUGGACGAAAGUCCGACCGAGCAACGCCGCGUGAGUGAAGAAGGUUUUCGGAUCGUAAAACUCUGUUGGUAGAGAAGAACGUUGGUGAGAGUGGAAAGCUCAUCAAGUGACGGUAACUACCCAGAAAGGGGCGGCUAACUACGUG
rnacentral:rRNA from 1 species